rnacentral:rRNA from 1 species
GACGAACGCUGGCGGCGUGCUUAACACAUGCAAGUCGAACGGUAAGGCCCUUCGGGGUACACGAGUGGCGAACGGGUGAGUAACACGUGGGUGAUCUGCCCUGCACUUCGGGAUAAGCCUGGGAAACUGGGUCUAAUACCGGAUAGGACCACUGCCUGCAUGGGUGGUGGUGGAAAGCUUUUGCGGUGUGGGAUGGGCCCGCGGCCUAUCAGCUUGUUGGUGGGGUAAUGGCCUACCAAGGCGACGACGGGUAGCCGGCCUGAGAGGAUGACCGGCCACACUGGGACUGAGAUACGGCCCAGACUCCUACGGGAGGCAGCAGUGGGGAAUAUUGCACAAUGGGCGCAAGCCUGAUGCAGCGACGCCGCGUGAGGGAUGACGGCCUUCGGGUUGUAAACCUCUUUCAGCUAUGACGAAGCGCAAGUGACGGUAGUAGCAGAAGAAGGACCGGCCAACUACGUGCCAGCAGCCGCCGCCG